rnacentral:sRNA from 1 species
GACGCAACUAAUUCUUUUCGGAGGAAACGACAAUCGCCGCCGUUGUCCUUUCGCGAAUGUACCGCCCGAGCUUCACUACUUUGACACGUCAACUUCCACGUGGCGAUACGUGCCAGCAACUGGAAAUUCGCCGUCAUCAAUCGGACAUUCGGCAGUGGUUUCUGGCGAUUAUAUGUUCGUCUAUGGUGGAUGGCCAUUUAUUCAUAAUGAACUACACUUGGAGACACCAUUGGUAAAAUUUUGCCGGAAUUCGACUUAAUUUGAGCACAAUUUGGUCGAAAAUUGCCAAAUUCUACUGGAAAAAUGAAGGAAUUCUAGUUGAAGUUUGGCUGAAUUUGGCCUUAAAUCAGCUAAAAUAAGCUGAAAUUUUCACUGAAAAUAAGCCAAACCUCACAGAAAUUCGGCUAUAAUUUAGUUGGAAUUUGACUGAAAUUAGCCUAAAACUGGUCGGAUUUAGGCAGAAAUUUAGUGCAAUUUGGCCUAAAAUGGGCUGAAAUUAGCUGAAAUUUUCACUUAAAAUGAGCUAAACCUCACAGAAAUUUGGCUAGAAUUUAGUUGGAAUUUGACUGAAAUUAGCCUAAAUCUGAUCGGAUUUAGGCCGAAAUUCCGCUUAAACUCGGCUUGUAAUUUCCAAAAAAUUGACAAUUUUUGACUGAAUUUUUCCUAAAAUUGGCUUAAAUAAGUUGAAAGUUUGACUAAAAAUUAGCCGAACCUCACAGAAAUUUGACUAGAAUGUAGUUGGAAUUUGGUCUAAGGUGGCCGGAUUUAGGUAGCAAUUUAGCACAUUUUGGCCGAAAUAUGGCAGAAAUUGGCUGAUUUUUACUGAAAUUUUGCCUAAAUUAGGCUUAAAUAUGACGAAACUUAGACGAAAUUUACUAAAAUUUAGCUUUAAAUUGCCUGAAAUUUGGGCCGUAUUUCGUCUAAAAUUUCCCAUAAUUUUCAGAGAGUCGAACGGCUUCAGAUUCUGGAUAUCAGGCACGAGACGUGGAAAACCGUACAGUUGGAGAAAUGGAAUCCAGCUGAUCCGGCGCCGUUUCCAAG